rnacentral:rRNA from 1 species
UACGUAGGGGGCUAGCGUUGUCCGGAAUCAUUGGGCGUAAAGAGCGUGUAGGCGGCCCGGUAAGUCCGCUGUAAAAGUCAAAGGCUCAACCUUUGAAUGUCAGUGGAUACUGCCGGGCUAGAGUCCGGAAGAGGCGAGUGGAACUCCUGGUGUAGCGGUGGAAUGCGCAGAUAUCAGGAGGAACACCGGUGGCGAAGGCGGGUCUCUGGGCCGAUACUGACGCUGAGGAGCGAAAGCGUGGGGAGCGAACAGG